UUCCUUCUUGUCUCAGGUGGUCAGUUUCUCGGCCGGCAGGAGAGGUUGCUGGGAUCCCCACAAUCAAGAGUUUCGCUCCUGUGUACACUCCCAAGCAUGAUGCUCUGUCUUUCCACAGGUGCAGAAACGACAGACCAAGCGACUAUGGACCAGUGAAAUGGACGGAACUGGAAAAUAUCACGUGAAGUGAAAUAACUGAAAGACAAGGGCUGAGUGUUUGCUCUCACAUGCGGACCUAGAGACUGAAGGCAGAAUGAACAGAAGUUGGAAAGAGUGGGGAGCAAGAACAAAAGGAGGCUGGUUUUGACCACAGCAUGCUUUGUGCAUGUACAGAAACACUAGUGAAUUUGUACACAAAAUUACUGCAUGCUAACGACAAUUUAAAAGCUUACAUUUUAAAUAAUAAAAAGCGAUUUUGAAAAGAGCCUCAGAAAAGCUCAAGAACAUAGACUUGAUUUUUUUCCCAUGCCCUUCAAUUUAACAAUGCUGAGUACUCACUACAGGGAGGAACUUUGCUUGAUGCUGUGUGCUUAGAAAUGACUUUAACAGCUGGAGAUAGAAUCGAAUGUGAGCAAUUACUGGGUGUGAGUCAAGCUGUAGCUUUCUCUCAUCUAAAAUGACAGUUAUGGUGAUGGCAGACUGAGACCGUCCUGUGGGGAAAAGGUGUCAACUGAGGCCAGUUACACUCCUCAGUACUUCAAGCCAUACUCAGCAGAUUGGGAGAAAGAUCAAUUUGUGCAAUUCCACAACGGUUAGUGUAACAUAAGAGUGAGAGUAACUAUAUUUCUGUUGAACUCCCAGUAUUUUUAUAUGGUUUUGCUUUCUGACUUGAGGAUCCUACACUUUUCCAUGGUGCUAGGAGUCAAGGCCAGGGCAUGUUGUGAGCACUCCACCCCUGAGCUGCAUUCCGGCCCCCUUCUUUGAGAAUCUUCAAACGCUGCAGCAAAUCUCUCAGCUGCUCUACUUAUGAAUACGAUUUUUCUCUUGGAGUGAAAACGUCAAUCUCAUUUCUUGCUUUCCACAUAAAAGCAACUGAAAGUGUUUUGUUCAGCCUUUGUAUUUUGAGUUGGACACCUGUACCAAUGACUUGGAAAGAAUAAAUCAGCUUAGAUUAUAUUAACAUCACUGUAAUAGGAAUUUUAAAAAUGUGUGUGUGCAUAUGCUUGAGUACACAUAUGCCAUGUGUAUGUGCAUGUGUACAGGUCAGGGGACAAGCUGUGGAGGUUCUUCCUUUCACAGGUGGGUCUGUGAUUGAACUUAGGUUGUCCCAUUUGGCAACAGGCACCUUUACCAACUGAACUAUCUCUCCAGCCUCAGUAGGAAAUUUUUCAAAGGAGAAUUUAAGAAUCAUUUUGUAUGUGAAAUAUUAAUGUAUGAUGGGAAAAAAAUCACGAUUCAAUACUGGAAGUUAAGAGGAAAGCUUAUUUUUUAGACAGGGUCAUAUAGCCCCAUACAGCUCAGGCUGGUCUUGAACUCACUACGUAUUUGAGGCUGGCCUUGAACUUCUGAUCCUCCUGCCCCCACCUCCCAAGUACUGGAAUUACAAGCAUGCACUAUCAUAUUUGGCAGCUUUAUUAUUAUUAUUUUUUUUAAUGUGAGACUCCAGCAUCAUUCAUAAACUUUAAAUAUCUUCUUUGAAAAGAUUAAAAACUGUGGUUUAGAUUCAACAUGAUUGUCAGCAGAACAGGAAGCUAAUCAUGCUCCUCUCACAGCAGUAUUUUUCCUGAAUGAAGAACUGAAACAGACAGAAUUUCAAAAGUAUUUUAUUCCAAAUUCCCCAUCUAGGAGAAAGGAUAUAUAACAGUGUUUACACAUGCUUCAAUAACUUAUUUCACUGUACAACUUACAUUCUCUAUAGCAACACAGUAAACCAGCGAAAGAAAACAAUUAGCACUUAAAUAAGACUCUAUUGUGUAAAGUAAUGAGUGUGGGACACGGAAAGGUGAGAUCUACACAUUUUACCACAACUGAGCGGCUUGGAGUUCAUAAGCCAUCCUGGUCAGUGUGUGUUUAAAAAUCAAGAUGUCUACACUUUUCUGAUUUGUACUGUCACAGCCACUGUGACCUUUCAGAAUAGAACUUUUUUUUCUUGCUAAAUUUGGUGGGUGGGGAAAGGGCUCUAUUUUUAUCCCUUUUGUAAAAAAUAAAUAUAUUCUCCCUUUUCUGUUAAGUCCAGUUUUAAAUAAAAUACUUAUUUGUGUUUAUGCAUACUCCUAUGUCAACACUACUCUAGCACAGAACUCUACUGAUCAGUAUUUCACAGCCAGCAAGAUGGUCAAACAUUACAGUACCAAACACAGACCACUGAGCUUGCCAUAAUAGCACCUAGAAAAAGAGUACUGGGGUCAGAGUUCUCCUGCUGUUCUUGUGAUGCAGGCAACGUGGAAAACACCACAGAAUCCAGGCAAAAACGUAAGGAAGGAGGCAAGAAACUUUUCAGAUCUAGAAAGAUCUUAUCAGCUCAUGUAUUCUCUGACAUAUUUUACAAGGAGUUCCAAGCCAGGCACACUGCAGACAGUGCACAAGAUAAGUCAGAUGGAGACGACUGAGCAGUGAAAUCUGACCCUCCGCCAAGAAAUUACAUUUCCAAGACUGGGAAAGGCACAGGAGGUGCACAUUUUAAUUUGGCUCAGAAAUAAUGAAAAUUAAUUUUAAAAGUUGGCAACAAUUACAAAAACAAAAUGCCACUUUCUUUGACAAAGUUACAAUAAACCAACAGAAAGCAUACCACGGUUCACGAUAUUCAGUGACCACACAUGACUGCUUGGCAUUUCUAUACAGACUGCAUCUGGAAGACUAAGUCUAUAAAGGAAGAGCUAACAACUGAUUUCACCCAGAACUCUGCUUUAUCAAUGCCUUCUUCCAAACGCUAAUCUAUAGUCAAGCUAAGUUCCUUGCUGUGGAACUGGAAACUUGAAAGGCUCUAAUUUUCAGUUGUUGCAGAAGUAUGUAAUCCUACACACCACGGGACACUGAGGGACAGAAAGUCAACUCGCACUGUAUCUGCGAAAGCUAAGUAGGGUUUCACUGUGAUACACGUAAACGAUGAAUCAUAAGUUUAAAAAAAAAAACAGCAGUUAUGUCAAGUUUAUAAUCUAUCAUUCAUAUCUUUAAAAGACAGCAAUAGUAUUUAGGAUAAC